rnacentral:misc_RNA from 1 species
GAUGAAGAACGUAGUGAAAUGCGAUACGUAAUGUGAAUUGCAGAAUUCAGUGAAUCAUCGAAUCUUUGAACGCACAUUGCGCCUGCCAGCACUCUGGCAGGCAUGCCUGUUCGAGCGUCAUUUCAACCAUCAAGCCCUAGGCUUGCGUUGGAGCCCUGCGGCUGCCGCAGGCCCCUAAAAGCAGUGGCGGGCUCGCUAUCACACCGAGUGCAGUAGAUUACUCUUCGCUCAGGGCGUGUGGCGGGUUCCAGCCGUGAAACCCCUACUUCUCAAGGUUGACCUCGGAUCAGGUAGGAAUACCCGCUGAACUUAAGCAUAUCAAUAAGCGGAGGA